AGCCAUGCAAUGAGCACAUAGCGAACUAUUCUUUCGCCUUUUACUAAAGAAUACCGUGCGCGCCUUGCAAUGAAUGGCAUACGCCAAUUUUUGGAGAGGGCUUCUUUUAGAGGACCU
rfam:Ipomoea nil DNA, scaffold: scaffold0656, cultivar: Tokyo-kokei standard.